rnacentral:lncRNA from 1 species
GUAGACUAGAUAGAGUAAACUCUUACUCCAACUCCCCGUUCCAAAACUGCGUUUAAUAUAGCGUUCAUCAAACAGAAGAACAUACCAGAUAUUAAACUGAUAAGAACACACACUACACUCAAUCAUUAACCAAACAGCAAAAAAGAGAUACCAGUUACCCGGGGCCUCCCACGUCCUCCCUUCUUUCAUCCACCUUAAGGUCACGGUGAGAAACCUCACCUUCGGUAAACAUCUCACCUGCUUUCUGAUGUAAAUAUUAUAUUGAAAACAUAGGCCCUUUGAGACAUUUUGUCCGCUCCUUGACUCUUAGUGACUUCGAGCUUUGUCGCCCCUUUUCCUUGGUCGCGAGGGCCGUUCAUUUGCAUGUCCCACCCGCUCUGCGCCCGGGAGGCGUGGCCACCAAGGGGCCGGGCCCUGCACAGCGCCCUGGGGAAGCUGGUUUGAAAGCUCUGGAGCGACCCCAAUGCCGGCUACUGCCUGGGGUCUAGGAAUCCAGAACAUUCCACACAUUGCCUAAGUCAACAACCUGUUGCACACACACACCUGCAACUGUUUUGCAAAAAUAUUUACGUAAUUUCGAAGCAGCUCUUCACAAAAUAUUCAUCAGUUACAGAAGGAAGUCACUUCACAGUGGAAAAAUCUGGCAGGUGCCACCUUAAUCAAGUAACCAAAAUGAACAUCAUCAGUAAUAGGACAAAUUGCAAUCGUGUGCCUCCUGAUAGUCUAGCAAGAAGAACACAGCAUCACUUCUAUGAUGCUCCUGCCAAUAAUAUAUAAUUGGAAUCUAAUCCUAAAGCAACAAAUUCAAAUUAAGGAAAAUUCUACAAAAUAAUUGGCCUGUAAUAGAAGUGUUAAAGGUCAUGAAAGUUAAGGAAAGACUGAAGAACUGUUCCAGACUGAAGAUGAAAGAGAUGUGAGAAAUAAGUGCAGUGGUGAUUCUGAACUGGAUCCUGACUUGGCAAAACUUGAAUAGGUCUGUUGGUUGGAUGGUAGAAAUAUAGUAAUGUUGAUUUCCUGAUUUUUGCUAGCUAUAUUACAAUUUUAUUGGAUUCAGUCCUUGUUUACAGAAGACACACAGUAUGUAGGGGUUAUAAGAAGUCAGCUCAGGAACUUUCAAAUCAUUUAGCAAAACAAAAGUUCUUCGUACUUUAAUUCCAAGACUUCUAUAAAUUUGAGAUUAUUUUUAAAAUACUUAAAAAAAACUCCUUUAAAGUCUCUCAA